rnacentral:rRNA from 1 species
GACGAACGCUGGCGGCGUGCUUAACACAUGCAAGUCGAACGAAGUGGCGAACGGGUGAGUAACGCGUAAUCAACCUGCCCUUCAGCGGGGGACAACAGUUGGAAACGACUGCUAAUACCGCAUACUGAAGAUGGGGAUUGCGUCUGAUUAGCUAGUUGGGGGGGUAACGGCCCACCAAGGCGAUGAUCAGUCGCCGGGCCUGAAGGAGGAAUGGCCAAAUUGGGACUGAGACACGGCCCAGACUCCUACGGGAGGCAGCAGUGGGGAAUCUUCCGCAAUGGACGAAAGUCUGACGGAGCAACGCCGCGUGAGUGAUGACGGCCUUCGGGUUGUAAAGCUCUGUUAAUCGGGACGCGGUACCGGAAUAGAAAGCCACGGCUAACUACGUGCCAGCAGCCGCGGUAAUAC